ACGCUCGACACCUACGGGAGCAGCAGUGGGGAAUAUUGCACAAUGGGGGAAACCCUGAUGCAGCGACGCCGCGUGAGUGAAGAAGUAUUUCGGUAUGUAAAGCUCUAUCAGCAGGGAAGAAGAUGACGGUACCUGAGUAAGAAGCCCCGGCUAACUACGUGCCUGCAGCCGCGGUAAUCUGAGCGGGCUGGCAAGGC
rnacentral:rRNA from 1 species